UUCUGUAGGCUGUUAAUUUAGUCAGAGGUUAAAUCCUUCGGCCCAACCGAAGAAACGCUUCUGAUACUGGUUAACUAGAGGCAGUUAGGGGGUAGCGGAACGUAUGGUGUAGCAGUAAAAUGCGUUGAUAUCAUACGGAACACCAAGGGGGAAGCCAGCUACCUGGGACUGUCCUGACGCUGAGAGACGAAAGCGUGGGGAGCGAAAC
rnacentral:rRNA from 1 species